ACAAAUGGAGCCAUAAAUGCAAUUUUCUGUCCUUUGCUCUGAAGAAUUAAUUUUAAGGUAUUCAUAUUUUUCUUCAAGUACAUCUUAAGUCUCAAUUAAACCACAAAAAGCUACAAUAAAGUAACAUUAAGAACCAACUUAAACCCAUCAUAGCAAGGAAAUUCAGACAUCGGCUAAAAAUUUUGUCUCAGUCUUCAUCUUUAAAUCACUCUGUUGUGGUUAGGAAUUGUGUGGCUUGGAGAAGUGUGUGAUUUUUCAUACUGCACAGUACAUACGUUCCAGUACUUAGAUUAAAGGAAAGUUAGAAUUUUUAGACUUAACUCUGAAUUUCUUUCUCCUUGAAGGCUUAACUCAAGCAUCUAUAAUUACUUUAACACAAUCUUUUUACAUUUAAAUCUUUUCAGACUGGAAUAGAAAGUGGAAUUCUAAAAUCUUCUAUUUUGCUGUGUACUUCAAUGGCACUUUCUAAAUUUAAAAGAUUGAGCACUGCUUGCUACAUGAAACUGAAUAUAUGCAUUUUUAAAUGGCACUUAGACAUGAGUGGAUUAAAUGUGGUAAAAAAGGCUUACAUAUUCCCAAUAUAAGUUACAAAUUCAAACAUUCGGGCAUGAAAAUCCUUUGCCUAAGUUAUUUUCAAGCUUCAUCCUUUUUCCUGCAAUAACUAAAGCAAAGCCACAGUAGCUACAGCCAUUUGCAUCUAAGGAAGAGAUGUUUUGCUUUGGUGAUAUAGUUAAUGAGUCUAAAAAUAUUCAGUAUAAUAAUUCUGUCAAAGCCCCCACAGUCUCCUCAAUGAGCAGAAGCCUGCAGGAUUCCAAUGGGGAGCCAAGUAAUGAGCUCUCAGCAUUCGCUCCCACACCGUCCAGACGAAAAAUACUCGGGCCUCGAAGGUUCCACAUCAUUAGCAACAUGAAACAAAGACACAUGCUUGACUUUAAUAAGCGACUAAAGUUGCUGGCUUAUUAGGCUGUCACUGCACAUAAACUCUAUUUCAGUGUGACAAAACUGUUGCCUGCAAACAACAACAACCAAAAAAAAAGGGAAAAAAGGACAGGAGCACUUUUACAAACAGAGAUGGGAUGCUUCACUGCUUUCAGAUGAGCCUUUCACUGUCACAGUCAAUGGCCAGGAACAGAAUAAGCUCUGGAGACUACAUCGAGAUGCAUGAUAAUAUCAUCCAUACUAUGUCCAGAAGAGGUAUACUGUUGAGUGGGAAAUCAAAUAUUACCAAGAACUAUUAUAUUCUGAGAAUGUAGAAGACACAUAUUCUCAUAUCCAAACAAGCAAAAGCUCCAGACGAUAACAUAACAUCGAUAAAUUUUUCUGGAGAGAGACUUGGAGAGAGUAUUCCCUGAUUCUGCAUUCAGAAAAAAAAUACUUUAAAUUCCUUCUAGAAUCCAGUCCUUUUAAGAAAUCAUUUCCAUACUGAUAGCAUUAUCUCUGCUAUUAUAUCGACAGAAAAAAAUUUACACUCACUUGGUAAGGAAAGAUAGGCACUGAGUUCUUCUGCUUUUUAUGUUUUAAAUCUCCAACUUGUUCUCCAGAUCUGUCUAUCCCUAAGAAUAUAUGACUUAAACCCAGUUUUAUUCUUGAAAUGUAGAAGGGCUAUGUAGUUAGCAAGAAUAUCUUGGAUAGGAUUUUCUUAUUUGCAUUUGUCCGGAACAAACUGAAUACACUGAAUUUUAAAAUAAGAGAUUAACUGAGGUAGUAUAUUAGGAAAUGAGCAAUGGAUGAAGAUAUGGGUAUAAGACAUAAAACGGAUUGAUAAGAGUAAAGUACUGACAAAUAAUCUGAAUUUCACACUUUGACACUGUACUUUUACAAAAUGGACUAAAAUAUAUAUAUAUCAGGACCUGCUUUCUGCAUAAAUGACCUGAGUUAAUAGAUUCUUACCUGAAAAUGUUGAUCUGAACUUAAGAUCAGUGAGCAUGAUGACUUAAAUGCAUAUUCAUUUUCAGAAAUAUAGGCAGGUGAGGUCAGCAAGGAAUAACCUGACUAACAUGUCUGAAGAGUAUCUCUGAAUUGAUUAUAGAUGGUAUUGAUAGGCUUCUAUUUUGAAAGCUAUAUAUAAAUACAAAGAAUUACAUUAUAUUUCCAAAACAAAGUUUUACAGCAUCACUUGACUCAGGUUCCAUAGGUUUCAUUGUUAUAUUAAAAAACAAAAACAAAAUCAGAACCUCUGUCCUUUUAAAUGUAACUAAUUAGUCAGUAAAACUUUACACCUGGCCAUUAUACUGCCAUCAUGGAAGUUCUUCAAACUAUAUUUUACCUUUUAUUUCAUUUGAGUUUUUUCUAAAUUAAAGGUUUACAGAAUCUGAUUGUAGCUGUCAUAAAACUCACAAUUUCCAGGAAAAAGUGUUUAUGAAGAAUACAAGGUGCAUUUUAAUUAUUACAUAAUAUAUUUAUAUGCAGAACAUAUGUAUAAAAAUAAAUACAUUUCAGGUGCAAAAACUGAAUAUAUGAUAAUGAAUUUGAAUACCUUACAUGAACUGCUCUUUAAAAAUAAAAUAAAAAGAAAUAGCAGAAAGCAAGUAAAGAAAAAAACUACAAAAAGUGUGAAAUAGGCAAGAAGAAAAUAAGAAUACAGGCGAUCAGUAUUACUAGCAAUUAUUCUAUUUUUAUUAACUAGUUGCAUUGAUUAAAUUAAUUUUAGAGAUGAGAUAAAUGAAUUGAAUAAGAAAUACUAGCACUUUACCUGCUGAUGAUCUCUAACAGCAGUUUCCACCCUGA